AAACUGAGGCAGCACAUCGCACACUGGUGUGGAAGGAAGCCACCGGAGCAAUUUUUCUGGAACCAGCUCUGAAAAAAAUCUGCAUUGGUGUCUGGCGGGAAUAUCUGGAGCCUUGGAGCUUGGCCUGAUGCUUCUCAUUGAAAUGAGCAGGAAUUUUGUCACUUGCUUCUCUGGCCUAAGUUUGCUCCUGAGGCUGGCUAAGGAAAAUGCACACUCAUGACCCCAUGGUAUUUCUGGCAAGUGCCCAUCAUGUGCCUGCCAGCAGCUGCAUGUGUGAAACACAACAAUCAGAUGUGCUGCUGGCUGGGGAGCCUGAAGUCAUCCUGAGGCAGAAGCCUGAAGAUAUUGAGGUAAUGGUCUGGAAGCAUCAUCCCAGAAAACCAUCUUAA
rnacentral:lncRNA from 1 species